AUGGCUGCUUAAAGGGAUCCAGAGGUGGAAAAUAUCAUUUCUUUUACUGCAUUAUAUAGAAGUGGGAUCUCAAAACACUGGCCCACGGACCACUUGUCAUAGGAAAACUGCCGGCACCUCAAUUUCCAGACUGUCUGGUCGACACUGGACAUCUGGCAACUGACAGUCUUUUAAUUGAGCGGCUGGCUGCUUAACCACUGACCAGCACUGCAUAGUUGUGCCCUGAUAUAUGUGAGUAUGUGAGAGUAGGUGAGUGUUUCUUUGUAUGUGUGAGUGUCAGGUGUCAGUCAUGGGGGAAACUGUGAGUGUGUCCAGGAGUACAGACCUGCGUGUGUGUCUAGAAGUAUGUAUCUGUGCAUAUAUAUAUGUAUGUUUGUAUGUGUGUGUGUCUGGUAGUAUGGAUCUGUGUGUGUCUGGUAGUAUUGAU